AACGCUAGCUACAGGCUUAACACAUGCAAGUUGCGGGGCAUCAUGGAGUCAGCUUGCUGGCUUUGAUGGCGACCGGCGCACGGGUGAGUAACGCGUAUCCAACCUGCCGUUUACAUUGGAAUAGCCUUUCGAAAGAGAGAUUAAUGCCGGAUGUUCCAUAUCGGGCGCAUGCCCGUUAUGGCAAAGGGGAGACCCGGUAAACGAUGGGGAUGCGUUCCAUUAGGCAGUUGGCGGGGUAACGGCCCACCAGACCAUCGAUGGAUAGGGGUUCUGAGAGGAAGGUCCCCCACAUUGGAACUGAGACACGGUCCAAACUCCUACGGGAGGCAGCAGUGAGGAAUAUUGGUCAAUGGGCGCAAGCCUGAACCAGCCAAGUAGCGUGAAGGACGGCGGCCUUACAGGUUGUAAACUUCUUUUAUGGGUGGAUAAAGAUUCCCACGUGUGGGAAGUUGCAUGUAACCCAUGAAUAAGCAUCGGCUAAUUCCGUGCCAGCAGCCGCGGUAAUACGGAAGAUGCGAGCGUUAUCCGGAUUUAUUGGGUUUAAAGGGAGCGUAGGCGGGUCGGUAAGUCAGCGGUAAAAUAUCUUGGCUCAACCAGGUUGUGCCGUUGAAACUGCCGGUCUUGAGAUUACACAAGGCAGAUGGAAUUCGUGGUGUAGCGGUGAAAUGCUUAGAUAUCACGAAGAACUCCGAUUG
rnacentral:rRNA from 1 species